rnacentral:tRNA from 2 species
GGCGCUGUAGCUCAGAUGGCGAGAGACACGCAACGCGGGUUCGAGUCCCGCCGGCGCCG